AAACGCCUCCACCUACUAAUUAUUUAAACAUUUAUCUGCUAUUAUUUCAUUAUUGAAUUGUUUUUCUCUUUUUUCUUUGCCUCAAGCCUCAAGGGUACUGAAAUUGGAGAGAAAUAGUCUGGAGUAUCUUCUACACCACUUUUGUGGAGUAACUGCUAAUAAAGAGUACCAAAAUGCAGAUUGGAGAUUGCGGCCACUUCCUAAGGAGAUGCUUAGGAAAAAGUGUUUCUUCAUAGCCUUGUGGACUAAGUUGAGGAGAAGAAGGAACCACCAAGAACCGGCCACAGUAAGAGGUACAAAUUCAUAUAUUUCCUUAGUAGUUUACGGUUUCGAUUUUUCGUUUUCAUUUCUUAGGAUGGCUAUGAAUUUGUGGGGCAUUUUAUAUAGUUUUAAUCUGUGUUUAGGGACUAUAAACUUUCAUUAAGGGGUUGUGAAUGGUUUAAUAUGAUAAGGCUUGAAUUAUGGGCUUGAAUCUGUCUUUUGCUUUCAUUGGGUAAUUAUUUGUUUUAUUGUGAUGGCUAAGGUAUUUUUAUAUGAAUGAUGAUGAUUUAUUUACCCAUAUAUGUUGUGUUUGAAUAGGAAUGACAGGGAAUAGUUGUUUUUCUUUUUGGGUUUACAGCAUCUG